rnacentral:rRNA from 1 species
UACGGAGGAUGCGAGCGUUAUCCGGAUUUAUUGGGUUUAAAGGGUGCGUAGGCGGAUCGUUAAGUCAGUGGUCAAAUUGAGGGGCUCAACCCCUUCCCGCCAUUGAAACUGGCGAUCUUGAGUGGAAGAGAAGUAUGCGGAAUGCGUGGUGUAGCGGUGAAAUGCAUAGAUAUCACGCAGAACCCCGAUUGCGAAGGCAGCUUACCAAGCUACUUCUGACGUUGAGGCACGAAAGCGUGGGGAGCAAACAGG